GGUCCCUUCAUCUAAUGGUUAGGAUUUUGGAUUUUCAUUCCAACCAUAGGGGUUCGAAUCCCCUAGGGAUCACCA
rnacentral:tRNA from 7 species